rnacentral:misc_RNA from 1 species
UUUGCCUAGUCUGAAGGUUUUGUUUGUUCAUCUGUAAUGUUUUAAUAUUGGAAUUUUUAGUGAUUAGAAUAUGGAGUCUGGCCAAAAAGCUUUUAUGCUAAUAUAGGCAAUUAGAAAUCCCUGUAAAAUUUUCUUUGCAAGUGCUUGCAAUUAUUAGUUAAGAUAAUUGUGGCAGAAUUCCUUCUAGAUCCAAGUGCAACUUUGGUGAAUCAACUUUGCUGCCUGUCCGCUGAGUAUUUUAAAGAAUGGAGAUAAAAUAACCAGCCAUUCAAUGUAUGAAUUUGACAAUUUAAGAUGA